GUCAGAAGGCCACCUCAAGAGGAACAUCGUGGUAAAGACGGUGGAGAUGCGGGAUGGCGAGGUGAGGAAACGUUCCAGUGGCCCCGGGGAGUUCUUGAGGCUGUACUGGAGAAAGCCUGGUACUAGCUCACUGAAGGUCCUUAUUAACUACCAGGAGAGCUCUGGUAGAAGGGAUGGGCCUUGAAUGUAAUUCUCCUUUUCCAGCUCUUUCAUGGGUGGCGUGCUAAGGGCAACCUGUAUAUGGAGGCCACCAUCUUUCUGGAACACUUGGUGGAGGGAGGCUUUCAAAUUUUACUCAGAAGAACUUUCCAUAGGGGAAUUGGAAGAGGGGCUAGACAUAGAAUGGCCGUCUUCAUUUGUUGGGAUGUUAGCAGCAAUGGUUGCCCUUACGUCAUAGUCCUCUACAAGUGGCAUUUCAUAUCUCAAUGUGUGAUGCAAUCACAGCGAUAGUCCUGGAAGACACAUCCAGGGCAGUCAGGGGCUCGCCUCGGGGAUGCUCAGCCUAGCAAACUGGAUCUGGGAUUCUGGAGCCCCUAACUCUGUGCUGUGCAUCUUCCCUCUCCCUGCAG
rnacentral:lncRNA from 1 species